rnacentral:snRNA from 1 species
GGAUGUGAGGGCGAUCUGGCUGCGACAUCUGUCACCCCAUUGAUCGCCAGGGUUGAUUCGGCUGAUCUGGCUGGCUAGGCGGGUGUCCCCCUCCUCCCUCACCGAUCCAUGUGCGUCCCUCCCGAAGCUGCGCGCUCGGUCGAAGAGGACGACCUUCCCCCCCGAGGAGAGGACCGGUCUUCGGUCAAGGGUAUACGAGUAGCUGCGCUCCCCUGCUAGAACCUCCAAACAAGCUCUCAAGGUCCAAAGUCACCCAGCUAGAAAUUGGAAAAGCCAGGGAUCAAAUAUAGGUCAGCUGGACCCUAAAGCACAUACUCCUUACCUCCACUUAUGAAACAUGAAGU